ACCUCUCGGGGUUACAGCCUUGCUGAAUUAUUCACCCUUGUCUUUUGCGUACUUCUUGUUUCCUUGGUGGGUUCGCCCACCACUAGGACAAACAUAAACCUUUUGUAAUUGCAAUCAGCGUCAGUAACAAAUUAAUAAUUACAACUUUCAACAACGGAUCUCUUGGUUCUGGCAUCGAUGAAGAACGCAGCGAAAUGCGAUAAGUAGUGUGAAUUGCAGAAUUCAGUGAAUCAUCGAAUCUUUGAACGCACAUUGCGCCCUUUGGUAUUCCAAAGGGCAUGCCUGUUCGAGCGUCAUUUGUACCCUCAAGCUUUGCUUGGUGUUGGGCGUCUUGUCUCUAGCUUUGCUGGAGACUCGCCUUAAAGUAAUUGGCAGCCGGCCUACUGGUUUCGGAGCGCAGCACAAGUCGCACUCUCUAUCAGCAAAGGUCUAGCAUCCAUUAAGCCUUUUUUUCAACUUUUGACCUCGGAUCAGGUAGGGAUACCCGCUGAACUUAAGCAUAUCAAUAAGCGGAGGAAG
rnacentral:rRNA from 1 species